CACGUAGGGCACAAGCGUUGUCCGGAAUUAUUGGGCGUAAAGAGCUCGUAGGCGGUCUGUUACGUCUGCUGUGAAAACCCAGGGCUUAACCCUGGGCUUGCAGUGGAUACGGGCAGACUAGAGGCAGGUAGGGGAGAAUGGAAUUCCUGGUGUAGCGGUGGAAUGCGCAGAUAUCAGGAGGAACACCUGCGGCGAAGGCGGGUUGCUGGGCUGACACUGACGCUGAUGCGCGAAAGCUAGGGGAGCGAACGGG
rnacentral:rRNA from 1 species